rnacentral:rRNA from 1 species
UACGGAGGGUGUAAGCGUUGUUCGGAAUUAUUGGGCGUAAAGCGCACGUAGGCGGGUUUAUAAGUCGAUUGUGAAAUCCCCGGGCUUAACCUGGGACUUGCAGUCGAUACUGUAAAUCUUGAAUGUUUGAGAGGAUGGCGGAAUUCCUGGUGUAGAAGUGAAAUUCGUAGAUAUCAGGAGGAACACCCGAGGCGAAGGCGGCUGUCUGGCAAUACAUUGACGCUGAGGUGCGAAAGCGUGGGGAGCAAACAGG